rnacentral:rRNA from 1 species
GACGAACGCUGGCGGCGUGCCUAAUACAUGCAAGUCGAACGCAGGGGGGACGGGUGAGUAACCCGUGGGUAACCUCCCAUCAGAGGGGAUAACACUUGGAAAAAGGUGCUAAACCGAUACUGAUGGAUGGACUCGCUGUGCAUUAGCUAGUUGGUGAGGUAACGGCUCACCAAGGCCACGAUGCAUAGCCGACCGGGGAGGAUGAACGGCCACACUGGGACUGAGACACGGCCCAGACUCCGACGGGAGGCAGCAGUGGGGAAUCUGCGGCAAUGGACGAAAGUCUGACCGAGCCACGCCGCGUGAGUGAAGAAGGUUUUCGGGUCGUAAAGUUCUGUUGGUAGAGAGGCGGUAUCUAACCAGAAAGCCACGGCUAACUACGUGCCAGCAGCCGCGGUAAUUC